rnacentral:miRNA from 1 species
UGAACGGGAAACAAUUUGUG